AAGAAUGGGAAUGGAUGAUUGAGUACUUUGGCACUGAUUUAAAAUUCCAGGAACGCAGCCAAAAGAACACCGAUAACCGUAAGAAACAGAAGACAAAACACAGAAUUGGAUCAAAAUCUUACUCGCAAGUAAGUUUUGAGAAGAGAAACCCGUAAACUGGAGAAGAGCCAGAUUGUAUUACUCUGUGGGAACUCACCCACACGAAGAAUGGAACAUGGUCUAACACAGAGUCACAUGAUGUUUAUGACAAAGCAUGUGAAGAGGUUAAAAACAAAGAGACUGAAACUCAAGGUCCACUUUCAGAUGAGCAAAGACAUAAUAUUUUCC